GUUUCUAUCGACAGAGGAGAGAAAGGUCAUGAUUAAACCCUACAGUCUGAUGACAUUUGUCCAAACAGAUAAACCAAUCUACAACCCGGGACACACAGUGCAGUUUAGAGUCAUCACCUUGGAUACCAGUUUUAGCCCUGUCAAUCAGCUGUACAACAUUGUGGAACUGCAGGUAAGACCCUUAUUAGUCUAUCAAU